rnacentral:tRNA from 1 species
GGUGAUGUAGCUUAGUGGUAGUGCUCUUGCUUUGCGUGCACAAGGCUUGGGUUUGAUCCCCAGCAUUGCCC